GUUAUUCUAACAUUGUACCUUUGAUUGGAAAAUUAAGGUGUCUUUCCUACUUGUGUUUUGUUUUCAGAAACCUGAGACAGUAAAUAUGAUGACUGCAUCUGUAGAUGAAAAUACAAGAAAAUAAUAAAACUGGUCUCUGAAAAUAGUCUUCUGGACAAGGACAUUUUUCCUGCCUGUUACUUCUGAGCUUCUUGCAGACUUUUCAAUUGAUAUUAGUUCCUUGAACAGAACAGUGCUGUUUCUCUGAACUAAUUUGUGGGAAACCAAAAGGCCAACAAGGAGCACUGCAGAUCCUAGCCCAGAACAAUGGUGGCUUUUGAAAAUCACAUUUUUCCCAUUAUCUCUACAAGAUAUGCAGAUAGGCAGAUAACCAAGGAUUAGCUUUCUUUUGAAGCACCCAGAUUUUGCCCAGAAGCAAUAUCAUAGGAUUCAUCAUUCCUUCCCAUAUAGCUCAGUUUCCACUCCUGGAUCCUCCUCUUCUGAUUAUCAUAAGGAUUACACAACUACUUUGUUAUUCAGCCCAUGGAAAAACCCUGUCAAUGCUUCUUCUACUUGGUAGCUAAGGCUCCCAGAAUAGUUGCAUCUCUUAAAUCUCCCAUUCUCCAGGUUUGAGCCCCUGUGUUGAGGGCACAGCUGAAAAGUCAGAAGAGAUGCUGAUGGCACUCCAAAGGCUGCAAAAUACUUGUACUUGAUAGUGCUGCACAAAGGGCAAAAAACGUGAAGGGAAAUGGAAACAUUAAACCUGAGAACAGGAAAACUCACAAGAAUCUCAGAAACAGCCUGAAGAAAAAAGGAGACAAAGAUGUGAUUUCCAAAACAAUACCCGGAGAUCAAAAGAGGCUGAGGCGCUUUCAAACACUCUGGCUGAUCUGCAGGGAAAGGUUAAAGAACAUUGUUUUCAAAGGUGACAAACAGUGCCAGGGUUAUAUACAGUGAGUAACCAAUAUUCCAGAAAAUGGAGGACAAAGGAAAAGGACACAAGUGAAACCAGACCUUUGGCAUAAAAAGCCUGAAGUUGGUUCUUGUCCCUCCUGCUUGAUGCAGGAGGGUGAAGUGAUCUGAUGUAAAAAAGGAAGGUCAGUAAGCCAGUGUGCCAAAGUAGAAAUACCCAGGCACUUCAAGGCAGUUCAUAAGAGGCAGGAAUAAUGCAGAUUAAGGGCAAAAUGACUUCUGCCUUCAUGAUUUUGUCUGUUUCUAACAGGGCCAGGACAAUUUUCAUUAACUUACCAGGCUAGGGAAUUUGGAUUUGCCAGCUGUUUGGACAGGUAGUAGUUUCCUUUUUGUCUG
rnacentral:lncRNA from 12 species